CCCCCCACCCACCAUCCUCCCAUCCCAGCCUCAAUUUCUCUUCUUCCUCCCCUCGACGCCUCCACCAACCACCCACCUAGAUCCGCCAUGCCUCCUCUCCCUCCCUGCAGCGCCCCCACCUGGCCACCUCUCCCACUCCCGCCGCUGGCCCCGUCGUGCGCCACCCUGCCUCCCGCCGCCGGCGCUCCUCUUUCCUUCUUCGGCGCCGCUGGCCGGCGCAACCACUGGAUCCCCAAGACCCCAACAUCCACCUACCUAUCUCCCUCCUUGCCCGACCCACCCCACCCCACCGAAUGCCUCCUCUUCCUCCCGCUGGCCAGCGCACCCGAGGCCCUCCCCUAGCCCUCAUGCCUUCUUCUCUCCCUCUGCCCAUCAAGCGCCAAACGCGGCGACCUCCCCAACUCGUGCAUGCGUCGCACUGCUCCCCACCCCGCGGCGGCCCGGCUACCUACAACCGCCGCCGCCCUGUCAGAUCCGGCGAGAUCCGGCGCAUCCCACCUCCAUUGCCCCGUGUAGGGACUUCGGGUGCCUGGAUCUGGCGCCUCUGCCCCCGAGAGCAGCCAUGGCGCCCCUGCCCCCUACUUCUCGCCGGCACCUCCAGUGGUCGUGGCCGCCGGCGACUGUCGGAUCCGGCCUCCACCGCGCCUGUAGCCACUGGAUCCGUGGAUCCCCCAGGCGGGUGUGCCCCUGUUAGCCCCACAUCGCCGACCACGUGUCCGGUGGCUCACAGUAGCGGCGCGGCUCGGUAGGCUCCGUGGCUGACUCUGCCUACGAGCGUGCAGUUCUGCCCACACGGGCGUGCAGCUCGACCAACGGAGCAUUGCAGUUCGGCUGACGGCACCGAUGGCUUCCGGUGAAUUCUCGCUUGGACGGCGGUGCGACGUUCAGUUCAAUCACUUGGGCGAGCGGUUCGGCGGCCGUAUGGUUGCGGUGUAGUGCGCCAUCAUGCGCAGUUCUGUAGGCGUGUACUCCGGCCUCCCCGUAGCCGCUGUGCGCAACUGCUCAUCUUCGCGGGCCCGGGCGCGCCGCCGCUCCCCUUUAUCUUCUGUGUGCCUUCCUCCACAACACACAGCGCGGAUCCAAAAAGAUCUCGGCCACCGGCGAGCGUUCACCGUGAGAUCCAUGGCGCUGGCCACGCCGCGCCUUCUCCUGCUGCUCCAUCUAAGGCGAGGACGGGCUCUGCCGCGCCAGGAAACAGGGUGUGGCCUGGCACCGGCGAUUACAGCGUGGUGGUUCUCUAAUUCCCCAACAACAAAAGCUGCAGUGAGGCUACCGCACGGUUGAAGUUCAGCAGUAAUUUUGCUGCUUUUUCAUAUUUUGCUUGGGCGCAAUACUACACUUCUCCUGGGUCUGCAGUCCACCGACGAGACAGCUCGUGGUUGGAUGUGAUCGCUUUGCUAUUCGCUUCUGGGAGUGCGGGAGUGCUCUUGUACCACUGAUAGUUGGAUUGCUUUUUUGUUUGUAAAGAAGGUUAAGUGCAAUGCGGUUCAGUUAAGUCAUUUUUGCAGGAGAAGACGAAGAUAAAGUGCACUGCACAUAUUUGUUGAGCCUAAUAAAAAGUUAAAUUGCACGUCUAGGUUCUAGAGGAAAAGGUGCAGUGCACUUGUCUCAAACGAUAGUCCAUUUUUUUCACUUUCAAGGUUCACUGCUCAUGUUUGGGGCAGCUUGCUAUAUUUUUGUUUCGUUUUGGGGGUGUUCAUACAAAAAGGCAAGAUUUAGUUUGUAAUUAUUUGAAGAAAUCUCAUGUAGUUCAUUUGUAUGAA